AUUCUAUAUAUGUAUUCAUUUAAAUAAGAAUUAAUUAUAAAAAUAUUCUUUUUCUUUAAACAAUUACAAAAAUAUCUUUUGAUUUAAUUCCUUACAUUUUUACAUUUUUGUGAGAGGAGCCAAUUUGUUGAAGCUCCUUAAUCUUCUUCACCAGCCAAGGGAUGUCAAAGGCUGCAACUUUACAGAUCUAGAUUUGAGGAGGUGAAGAAACUGAUUUUGACCUCAAAUCGGUCAAAAAAUGCAGGUAAGCAGGCUAUUUACGAAGAAUAGCGACAAGCGGCAAUUUCUUUUCUUUACUUCACCGAUAUCGGGUUGUUUCCAAUGAAAAUGGUGGCAGAGAAGAGCUCGCGAUGUCAUGGAGAUCCUAUGGCAAGAGUUCCAUGUUGAAUGGCGAUCAGAAAAGAAGAACGGAAGGGAAAGUAACGAGGAAUGGUGAAGUUGGUGAAGAAUGACGAGCUAUGAGAGAAGUUUUUUUGUUUUUUAUAUAUAUAAAUGUGUUUAAAUAAUGUUUCUUAUAAAGCUUGAAACAACCCAUUUCAAUUUGUUUUGUUUGAGAAAGUUAUAUUUCAACUCCAGACUUUGCUUUUAAAUAAGUUUUAUAGCAACCCAUUAUAAAUCUUGGCCACGAAAAUAGAGAGAGACAACUAUACAUAGUUUUUAAAAAUAUAAAAAAUAGUUUUUUUUUUUUUUUUUUAACAGAUAAAAGAUAUUUUUUAAGAUAAUUUUAUGUCUUGUAUAAAAGAAGGUAACGAGGGAUAUAAUUUAUGUUUUAUUGAUUUUUGAUUUAUAUUUUAAUCUAAGGAUUUUUCUUUAGGCACAUGAUAUUUUCUCAUAGGCCAAAGCAACCUACCCUUCAUUCAUCUUUCUGUUGUUUCCCUCAAUUUUGUUUCUAUUUAGUGUGGCCACUUAUCAAUUAUGUUCAAUCUUAUAAUUAUUCCUCUCUCUGUAUAUUCAUAACAAAAGAAGGUGUUACAUCAAGGGAUUUUAAUAUUCUCUUCAAAAUAUGCCAUAAGAAGUUUCUCUGUUCUAACUAAAUGUAUCAUAUGUCCCAAUUAUGGGUUCUAUGGUCAAUAUUAUCUCAUGUUAUAGGAUGUAUUCUCUAUCUUGGAUUAGAGGUUCAUUUGUCCUUUUAUAUGAGAGGAAGCAAAAAGGUGCUCCACCACCGCCGCAGCCUACUCUGUUACAAAGCUUUGGAUAGCAACAGCAAAUGGAAAAGGAG
rnacentral:lncRNA from 1 species